rnacentral:rRNA from 1 species
AUUGAACGCUGGCGGCAGGCCUAACACAUGCAAGUCGAGCGAGCGGCGGACGGGUGAGUAAUGUAUGGGGACUGCCCGAUAGAGGGGGAUAACUACUGGAAACGGUAGCUAAUACCGCAUACUAUCGGAUAACCCAUAUGGGAUUAGCUAGUAGGUGAGGUAAUGGCUCCCCUAGGCGACGAUCCCUAGCUGGUCUGAGAGGAUGAUCAGCCACAUGGGGAAGGAGAAACGGCCCCGACUCCUACGGACGCAGCAGUGGGGAAUAUUGCACAAUGGGCUAAAGCCUGAUGCAGCCAUGCCGCGUGUAGGAAGAAGGCCCUAGGGUUGUAAAGUCCUUUCAGUCGGGAGGCGUUACCGACAGAAGAAGCACCGGCUAACUCCGUGCCAGCAGCCGCGGUAAUUC